rnacentral:lncRNA from 1 species
UAUAGUUUAUAUAGACCUCAACAUCCCUGCCUUCUCUUUCUCUCCUCCUCCUCCUCCUCCCCAAGAGGAGGGAGUAUGAGAGGUCUGGUUGAAGGUGGAUGUUCAGAGAGAGCGUCAAAGGUUGUGGCCGAGAAAGCAUGACAUGCAGAAUGCUUUAUCUUGUUGUAGCAGAGGCUACGAGUACAAACAGGUUCAAGGGGCUCUUCGACAACUGGUGACACAUCCCUGAUCUCAACGCACAGGAGGCUCUGGCGGAGCAAUUGCCGGCUACAUAUGCUACCCCACCUGCUGCAACACCACCACCCCUACGAACAGGUCUUACAAAGUAGGUUCUCGUAUCUUUGGCUUAUCUGAAAUGGGAGAGAAAACAGCAGCAGGGACAGAAUGCGCAAACAGACGGGUGGUUGCAGGAAGGCAGAACACAUUACAGGCUAGGCGGAAGCAGAUGAGAAAGAAGGACCACAGAAGAGAGGAGGGAUAAUGUGAUGUCAAACACAAGGCUAGAGGCAAAACUGAUUGAGGUGAAUACGCAGAAAAAUGUUUAGAGGCCAGAAGCAAUAAGAGAAAAAAAUAAUAAUUAUGAAUGAAUCGUGGCAGGUAUGAAACAGUAAAGCUCAGUUGUACCUAGAUGUGCACUUGCAUAGCUUUCUAGUGUCACCUUGUGCAUUAUCAUCAAUAAAAUGUUGCAAAGAUAUUGCCUCUCUGGACACAUUAUUCUGAGUUGACAAUAUGCUGAACUUCGUAGGUGAUAUACACUUCUCUGUACUUCCCUUUAUCUGGUAGCGUACAAGUUCAAAUGUAUAAUGUAAACAGUAAAAAAAA